UGGUGAGGUAGAGGCGCGAUAAGCAAGAGUAACUGACGAAAGGGUGAUUCCGUUUGAUUGUCAGCCAAAGGCUUAAUCGCCGAAGUGAGAGAAGAGUAUCGAACUCUCUUGCUGGGGUUGUUUCCGAAAGGGACAACACUGCCAUAGUCUAUUGUGUUGUUAAACUAUGGAGCGCUACUGUGGGG
rnacentral:ncRNA from 2 species